AUUGAACGCUGGCGGCAUGCCUUACACAUGCAAGUCGAACGGCAGCACGGGGGCAACCCUGGUGGCGAGUGGCGAACGGGUGAGUAAAGCAUCGGAACGUGCCCAGUAGUGGGGGAUAGCUCGGCGAAAGCCGGAUUAAUACCGCAUACGACCUAUGGGUGAAAGCGGGGGACCGAAAGGCCUCGCGCUAUUGGAGCGGCCGAUGUCAGAUUAGGUAGUUGGUGGGGUAAAGGCCUACCAAGCCGACGAUCUGUAGCUGGUCUGAGAGGACGACCAGCCACACUGGGACUGAGACACGGCCCAGACUCCUACGGGAGGCAGCAGUGGGGAAUUUUGGACAAUGGGCGAAAGCCUGAUCCAGCCAUGCCGCGUGCGGGAAGAAGGCCUUCGGGUUGUAAACCGCUUUUGUCAGGGAAGAAAUAUUCCGGGCUAAUACCCCGGGAGGAUGACGGUACCUGAAGAAUAAGCACCGGCUAACUACGUGCCAGCCGCCGCUGUAA
rnacentral:rRNA from 1 species